UACGGGGGGGGCAAGCGUUGCUCGGAAUUACUGGGCGUAAAGGGCGCGUAGGCGGCCUUCUAAGUCGGACGUGAAAUCCCUCGGCUCAACCGAGGAACUGCGUCUGAUACUGGAAGGCUUGAAUCCGGGAGAGGGAUGCGGAAUUCCAGGUGUAGCGGUGAAAUGCGUAGAUAUCUGGAGGGACACCGGUGGCGAAGGCGGCAUCCUGGACCGGCAUUGACGCUGAGGCGCGAAAGCCAGGGGAGCAAACGGG
rnacentral:rRNA from 1 species